rnacentral:rRNA from 1 species
AGUGAACGCUGGCGGUAGGCCUAACACAUGCAAGUCGAACGGCAGCACAGGAGAGCUUGCUCUCUGGGUGGCGAGUGGCGGACGGGUGAGGAAUACAUCGGAAUCUACUCUGCCGUGGGGGAUAACGUAGGGAAACUUACGCUAAUACCGCAUACGACCUACGGGUGAAAGCAGGGGACCUUCGGGCCUUGCGCGAUUGAAUGAGCCGAUGUCGGAUUAGCUAGUUGGCGGAGUAAAGGCCCACCAAGGCGACGAUCCGUAGCUGGUCUGAGAGGAUGAUCAGCCACACUGGAACUGAGACACGGUCCAGACUCCGACGGGAGGCAGCAGUGGGGAAUAUUGGACAAUGGGCGCAAGCCUGAUCCAGCCAUACCGCGUGGGUGAAGAAGGCCUUCGGGUUGUAAAGCCCUUUUGUUGGGAAAGAAAUCCAGCUGGCUAAUACCCGGUUGGGAUGACGGUACCCAAAGAAUAAGCACCGGCUAACUUCGUGCCAGCCGCCGCCGUAA